UACGUAGGGGGCUAGCGUUGUCCGGAUUUAUUGGGCGUAAAGAGCGUGUAGGCGGCCAGGUAGGUCCGGUGUGAAAACUCGAGGCUUAACCUCGAGAUGUCAUCGGAAACCAUCUGGCUAGAGUCCGGAAGAGGAAAGUGGAAUUCCUGGUGUAGCGGUGAAAUGCGCAGAUAUCAGGAAGAACACCCGUGGCGAAAGCGGCUCUCUGGAACGGUACUGACGCUGAGACGCGAAAGCGUGGGGAGCGAACAGG
rnacentral:rRNA from 1 species